rnacentral:rRNA from 1 species
AACGAACGCUGGCGGCAGGCUUAACACAUGCAAGUCGAGCGCCCCGCAAGGGGAGCGGCAGACGGGUGAGUAACGCGUGGGGAUCUGCCUAGUGGUACGGAACAACACGGGGAAACUCGUGCUAAUACCGUAUAAGUCCUUCGGGAGAAAGAUUUAUCGCCAUUAGAUGAACCCGCGUCUGAUUAGCUAGUUGGUGAGGUAACGGCUCACCAAGGCGACGAUCAGUAGCUGGUCUGAGAGGAUGAUCAGCCACACUGGGACUGAGACACGGCCUAGACUCCUACGGGAGGCAGCAGUGGGGAAUAUUGGACAAUGGGCGCAAGCCUGAUCCAGCCAUGCCGCGUGAGUGAUGAAGGCCUUAGGGCUGUAAAGCUCUUUCGUCAGGGAAGAUAAUGACGGUGCCUGAAGAAGAAGCCCCGGCUAACUUCGUGCCAGCCGCCGCAGUAA